rnacentral:lncRNA from 1 species
AGGAAGCUGAAGGACAUUAAGUACAGGUUGUUUGGAGAUCUAAUAAAGCUGGGAAAAGAAAAGACUGAAAGUACAUGAGAUAUUUGCAAGCAGUUAAGGGGCUGUCACAUGGAGGAAGGAUUAGAUUUGUUCUGUUUGGACCAAGAGGAAAGAACUGGGAACAAUGGAAGGAAAAACUUUCUAACAGUGAUCUAAAGGUGAGAUCUGAUGCCUCAAGACAUGGAGAUCUUCUAGCAAAGCUGACCACUUGUUUGGAAAUCAAUCAAUGCUGGUCCCUGUCUUGUCUACAACUUAUCAUCUUAGGGAGUCACUUUGAACCAUGUGCCCAGAUUAUACAAGUCAGCGGUAUAUGCCAAAGGUAAGUUUUAAACUUUGAUUUAAUUCUCUGUGUGUGUGUGUCUCUCUCUCUCUGUCUGUCUGUCUCAAUCUCUCUCUCUCUCUCUCUCUCUCUCUCUCUCUCUCUCUCUCUCUCUCUCUCUCUCACACACACACACACACACACACACACACACACACACACACACACACACACACAGAGUUUCAAAUGUCUUAUUUCAGUUUUAAGCCAUGAAAGCAAUAAAAGCU